AUAAACGCCGGUAGCACUAGCAAAUGGCAAUGGAUCUCACAUACACUAUUCAGACAUUCGGCGGGAAGGUCGCAUGUCGAGAGGGCAAUAGCCCAGAGGCGCAGCUUAGGUACCUAAAAAAUUUAA
rnacentral:rRNA from 1 species